rnacentral:rRNA from 1 species
AUUGAACGCUGGCGGCAGGCCUAACACAUGCAAGUCGAGCGGAUGAAGGGAGCUUGCUCCUGGAUUCAGCGGCGGACGGGUGAGUAAUGCCUAGGAAUCUGCCUGGUAGUGGGGGAUAACGUCCGGAAACGGGCGCUAAUACCGCAUACGGCCUGAGGGAGAAAGUGGGGGAUCUUCGGACCUCACGCUAUCAGAUGAGCCUAGGUCGGAUUGGCUAGUUGGUGGGGUAAAGGCCUACCAAGGGGACAGGCCGUACCUGGUCUGAGAGGAUGAUCAGUCACACUGGAACUGGGACACGGUCCAGACUCCUACGGGAGGCAGCAGUGGGGAAUAUUGGACAAUGGGCGAAAGCCUGAUCCAGCCAUGCCGAGUGUGUGAAGAAGGUCUUCGGAUUGUAAAGCACUUUAAGUUGGGAGGAAGGGCAGUAAGUUAAUACCUUGCUGUUUUGACGUUACCAACAGAAUAAGCACCGGCUAACUUCGUG